rnacentral:rRNA from 1 species
AUUGAACGCUGGCGGCAUGCCUUACACAUGCAAGUCGAACGGCAGCGGACCUUCGGGUGCCGGCGAGUGGCGAACGGGUGAGUAAUAUAUCGGAACGUACCUUUCAGUGGGGGAUAACGUAGCGAAAGUUACGCUAAUACCGCAUAUUCUGUGAGCAGGAAAGCAGGGGAUCGCAAGACCUUGCGCUGAUUGAGCGGCCGAUAUCAGAUUAGCUAGUUGGUGAGGUAAAGGCUCACCAAGGCGACGAUCUGUAGCGGGUCUGAGAGGAUGAUCCGCCACACUGGAACUGAGACACGGUCCAGACUCCUACGGGAGGCAGCAGUGGGGAAUUUUGGACAAUGGGCGCAAGCCUGAUCCAGCCAUGCCGCGUGAGUGAAGAAGGCCUCGGUUGGUAAGUACGUCUUUCGGUCCGGG